rnacentral:rRNA from 1 species
GUGAGUAACGCGUGGGUAACCUGCCUUAUACUGGGGGAUAACAGCCAGAAAUGGCUGCUAAUACCGCAUAAGACCACAGUACUGCAUGGUACAGUGGUAAAAACUCCGGUGGUAUGAGAUGGACCCGCGUCUGAUUAGGUAGUUGGUGAGGUAACGGCCCACCAAGCCGACGAUCAGUAGCCGACCUGAGAGGGUGACCGGCCACAUUGGGACUGAGACACGGCCCAGACUCCUACGGGAGGCAGCAGUGGGGAAUAUUGCACAAUGGGCGAAAGCCUGAUGCAGCGACGCCGCGUGAAGGAUGAAGUAUUUCGGUAUGUAAACUUCUAUCAGCAGGGAAGAAAAUGACGGUACCUGACUAAGAAGCCCCGGCUAACUACGUGCCAGCAGCCGCGGUAAUACGUAGGGGGCAAGCGUUAUCCGGAUUUACUGGGUGUAAAGGGAGCGUAGACGGCUGUGCAAGUCUGAAGUGAAAGGCAUGGGCUCAACCUGUGGACUGCUUUGGAAACUGUGCAGCUAGAGUGUCGGAGAGGUAAGUGGAAUUCCUAGUGUAGCGGUGAAAUGCGUAGAUAUUAGGAGGAACACCAGUGGCGAAGGCGGCUU